rnacentral:rRNA from 1 species
UACGUAGGUGGCAAGCGUUGUCCGGAAUUAUUGGGCGUAAAGCGCGCGCAGGCGGUCUUUUAAGUCUGAUGUGAAAGCCCACGGCUCAACCGUGGAGGGUCAUUGGAAACUGGAAGACUUGAGUGCAGAAGAGGAGAGUGGAAUUCCACGUGUAGCGGUGAAAUGCGUAGAGAUGUGGAGGAACACCAGUGGCGAAGGCGACUCUCUGGUCUGUAACUGACGCUGAGGCGCGAAAGCGUGGGGAGCAAACAGG